UAUUGUAUAUAUAUUUCUAUUUUUGCUUAAGGUAUUGUACCUAUGCAGUUUAUGUAAAAAUAUAGGGUGAAAUUCUAGUUUUUGAAAGCUGUUAUUAUAAACUAUAUAGAAUAAUCAGGAAAAAUAGGUUAGUGGUUAGUCAUUUAUAACAAUUAAAUUUAUAGAUAUGUUAGGUAUGCUUUCCAGAUUAUAUAGACAUACAUUUUAGAUAGAUAGAAAGAUGGUCUUCAAACCUUUCAAAGACCUACAGAGUGUGGCAUUUAAAAUGUUUUGUUAACUUAGGGUUUUUCAGGACAAUGAGACACAUCUGUUGGUGGUAGUACCAAUUUACUUCCGAGAAGAUGAUGGGUAUUGAAGAAACUCCUUAUGAAGUUUGCUUUCAUUGUGGCAAGACUAGCCAGAAUGGUUAGGUAAAGAAACUGUUCUUGCCUUUGACUGCUGACAAUGUGCUGUGCAGACUAGACAGGACACAGAGGAAAAGUGACUGUUGAACUUUGCCAAAACAAGGAGGACAGUCCUUAGAAAUUCCUGCUUCACAGAAGAGUCUUCUAGACAUUCUGCAGGACACAGAGGAAAGUGUCUGAUGAACUUUGCACAAACAAGGCAGGACAGUCCAAAAUUCCUGCUUCAUUGAAAAGUCUGCCGGAUACUCUAGGCCUGUAAGCUGAAGAUAGAUGCCCCAGUAUUGCAGAGGAACUUUGGGUGACUGUCCAGGCAGCCAAAUGUCUCUGUUGUUAGAUAAUAUUUCAUUCUUCUGGGCCUUUGAUGGAGUUGAAGACUAGGUAGUUAUAGUUGCAAUUUUUCUUUGUUAUGAUAAAAAAUAAAUUAGAUAUAAAACUUUGGAUUAACUAAAAUAGGAUAGGUAAUGCAUUAUUUUUUUGAAUAUGCUAACUACAAAUGGACUGAAUAUUGUAAAUUAUUUCUUACUUGGUAACUGUUUUUAUUGUAUAUAGUUAUACUAUGUUACAAUUAAAACCUUUAUUUUUAUUUAGACAAAAGGGAAAAUGUAGUAGAAUAUUUUAAGUGUGUGUUACUUUUACUUAUGUUGCAUUUGCUUAACUCUGUAAACGUGUUACUGUGCCUCUCUAAAAUACUUGAUGGUCUGAUAAAGAACUGAAUGACCAAUAGCAAGGUAGGAGAAAUGAUAGGUGGGGCUGGCAGGCAGAGAGUGUAUAUGGAAGGAGAAAACUGGGAGGAGAGAGCUGAGAUCUAAGAGCUAGAGAAGUACUCUGGUGGCCAGCCACCCAACUACACAGCAAGCCAUGGAGUAAGUGUAAGGUAUACAGAAGUUAGAGAAUGUGAAAAGCCCAGAGGCAAAAGAUAGAUGGGUUAAUUUAAGGAAAGCUGGCUAGAAUCUAAGCCAAGCUAAGGCCAGGCAUUCAUAACUAAGAAUAAGCCUCGAUGUAUGAUUUUUUUGUGAGCUGGGUGGCAGGCCCUCCAAAAGAGUAAAAUACCUCCAUCCACACAUUGCUAAUAUUUAAAAUAUAUAUAGGACUUGAAAAACAGGACAGCAAAUAAAUAACCCAAUUAAAAAUGUUGUAUACAUCUAACCAGAGAGUUUCAAAAGAUGAACACAAGUGGCUGAGAAACACUUAAAGGAACAUUCAAUAUCCUUAGUUAUCAGGGUAAUGCAAAUGAAAACUACAUUGAGAUUCUUUUAUAACAGUCAGAAUGGCCAAGAUCAAUAAAAGAAAUAACAGCUCAUGCUGGUGAGGAUGUGGCAUAAGUGAGCACUCAUCAGUUGUUAGUGGAAGAUCAAUGUGGCAGAUCCUUGACAAUCUGGGAAUAGAUUUACUCCAAAAUUCAGAUAUACCAUUCUUUGGAAUAUACUCAAAAGACUACAUCCUACAAGAGAGACACUUCUCAACCAUGUUCAUUGCUGCUCUAUUAAUCACAGCCAGAAACUGGAAAUAGCCUAGAUGUCCAUCAACAGACAACUGGGUCAGAAAAAUGUGGUAUAUUUACACAACAGAAUAUUACUCAGGUAUUUUAAAAAAAGAAAAACCAUGAAAUUCACUGGCAAAUGGAUGGAGCUAGAAAAAGAAAAUUUUCCUGAAUGAGGUGACCCAGACCCCAAAAGACAAAUAUGGUAUAUAGUCACUUACAUUGGAUAUUAGCUGUAAAGUUCUCAAUAAGCAGGUUACAUUCCACAUAACUACAAAGGCCAGGUGUAGAGUAAGGGACUAUAGGAGAGGGAAGCUUUUUUCCUAGGAAAGGGAAUUAGAAUAAAUGCUUUAGAGAUGGACAGUGGAGUGUGGACUGUAUUGGGAAGUUCAAACUGGGAGAGGGACUGGGAGAGAGGAAUAAGGAAAGGAUUAUGGGGUGGAAGAGAUAAAACCAAGGGCUAUUCGAAGAGAUGUGUUGAAGCCUGUUACAGUAGAAGCUUCUUAAAAUAUAUUUAUUUAUGAAAGAAAUCUAAAUGGAAUAAACAAAUCACUGGAGAGGCUAAGCCCCAACUAGACAUCUGUCACCAAAUGAACCUCCAGCGGGGCCAAGAGAGGGGCCUGAAGACCCGAGAUCCAGAUGCAUGGGUUCUCUUGGUUCCUGGGCCCUGGACGCUGGAGGUAGACUGAACAGAGUUCUCCAGAGAAUACUGCCGGACUGAGCCACGCCUUUCCCAGACCCUGUAAACUAUCCAUUCACUUAAACCCUUUAAAAGGUGGGAGCUGGCCUCUUACAACUGUCCAUGCUACCAGAGAUGAACAUCAACUCAGAAACAAACCCUUGGAUCAACAAUGGUGACCAGCCUGCAAGAUAAACUGGUGUAAUAAUGCCCGAGUAGCCAACCAAUAUCCGAUUGAAUUUAAGGCCAACUCCAUGAGAUGGAACCCAAGUUCAGGUGGCCAAGACUUUGAGAUUAGUUAGGCCAUGGACCUAGAGGAAAAACAGAUACCAUUGUUUUGCUAAAGGAACACAGCAAUAAAAUGUCUCCUAAUGACA